GAUGAAGAACGCAGCGAAAUGCGAUAAGUAAUGUGAAUUGCAGAAUUCAGUGAAUCAUCGAAUCUUUGAACGCACAUUGCGCCCGCCAGUAUUCUGGCGGGCAUGCCUGUUCGAGCGUCAUUUCAACCAUCAAGCCCUGCUUGCGUUGGGGUCCUGCGGCUGCCCGCAGGCCCUGAAAACCAGUGGCGGGCUCGCUAGUCACACCGAGCGCAGUAAUACAUCUCGCUUUGGGCGUGCGGCGGGUUCUUGCCGUUAAACACCCCCUUUUUACCAAGGUUGACCUCGGAUCAGGUAGGAAUACCCGUUGAACUUAAGCAUAUCAAUAAGCGGAGGA
rnacentral:misc_RNA from 1 species